CGACCGGCGCACGGGUGCGUAACGCGUAUGCAACCUACCUUUAACAGGGGGAUAACACUGAGAAAUUGGUACUAAUACCCCAUAAUAUCAUAGAAGGCAUCUUUUAUGGUUGAAAAUUCCGAUGGUUAGAGAUGGGCAUGCGUUGUAUUAGCUAGUUGGUGGGGUAACGGCUCACCAAGGCGACGAUACAUAGGGGGACUGAGAGUUAACCCCCCACACUGGUACUGAGACACGGACCAG
rnacentral:rRNA from 1 species